UACGUAGGGCGCGAGCGUUGUCCGGAAUUAUUGGGCGUAAAGGGCUCGUAGGCGGCCUGUCGCGUCGGUUGUGAAAGCCCGGGGCUCAACCCCGGGUCUGCAGUCGAUACGGGCAGGCUAGAGUUCGGUAGGGGAGAUCGGAAUUCCUGGUGUAGCGGUGAAAUGCGCAGAUAUCAGGAGGAACACCGGUGGCGAAGGCGGAUCUCUGGGCCGAUACUGACGCUGAGGAGCGAAAGCGUGGGGAGCGAACAGG
rnacentral:rRNA from 1 species